rnacentral:rRNA from 1 species
GAUGAACGCUGGCGGCGUGCCUAAUACAUGCAAGUCGAGCGAACGGACGAGAAGCUUGCUUCUCUGAUGUUAGCGGCGGACGGGUGAGUAACACGUGGAUAACCUACCUAUAAGACUGGGAUAACUUCGGGAAACCGGAGCUAAUACCGGAUGAUAUUUUGAACCGCAUGGUUCAAAAGUGAAAGACGGUCUUGCUGUCACUUAUAGAUGGAUCCGCGCUGCAUUAGCUAGUUGGUAAGGUAACGGCGUACCAAGGCAACGAUGCAUAGCCGACCUGAGAGGGUGAUAGGCCACACUGGAACUGAGACACGGUCCAGACUCCUACGGGAGGCAGCAGUAGGGAAUCUUCCGCAAUGGGCGAAAGCCUGACGGAGCAACGCCGCGUGAGUGAUGAAGGUCUUCGGAUCGUAAAACUCUGUUAUUAGGGAAGAACAUAUGUGUAAGUAACUGUGCACAUCUUGACGGUACCUAAUCAGAAAGCAACGGCUAACUACGUG